GACGUAGGGCGCAAGCGUUGUCCGGAUUUAUUGGGCGUAAAGAGCUCGUAGGCGGUGUGUCGCGUCGGCCGUGAAAACCUGCAGCUUAACUGUGGGCUUGCGGUCGAUACGGGCAUCACUGGAGUUCGGCAGGGGAGACUGGAAUUCCUGGUGUAGCGGUGAAAUGCGCAGAUAUCAGGAGGAACACCGGUGGCGAAGGCGGGACUCUGGGCCGAUACUGACGCUGAGGAGCGAAAGCGUGGGGAGCGAACAGG
rnacentral:rRNA from 1 species